rnacentral:sRNA from 2 species
UGGUUUUCCUGACACUUCUGGACUUUGUUCAAUCCCAGCAAUGAGAAGCAACGCUGCAGGCAACCGUGCACUGAUGCUCGCGGAUUAAACCAUCCUCUCUCAUCUAUCCAUGUGGCCAUCUAGGCGCACUGUUUUCACUUUCCGUGGCAGUGCUAAUAGCAAUAAUACGCUACAAUAAUGGAAUAACACUUACAUCCCGCCUCACCCUGGCGGAUAGUUGAUAUUUCCGAACAGCGCCCUACGCUCAAGAGACAACUCGGUAGGGCGGGGGAUAGAUAACUAUAUAACAUGCCUCCUACAUUACCAUGUUAUUGUCGAAUAUGUGCCACCAGCUUCUUUCUCUGCUUAAAUUCUCGUUUUACGUCUGCUUCGAUCAAGGGCCUAUCAGCUGAGUAUUUCGGCUGAAGCUAGCUGAUUUGCUGAUCCUUUUUUGGGGAGGUCUCUAGAGGGCGGGUAGUAGGUGGUCUCAAACAAGUCGCAUAUACUCCGCUCUGUUUAUUUCCACUCCCUGCAUUCCAACCAAACCAGACC